AUUGAACGCUAGCGGGAUGCCUUACACAUGCAAGUCGAACGAGUGGCGGACGGGUGAGUAAUAUCUCGGAACGUGCCCAGUAGAGGGGGAUAACUACUCGAAACGGUGGCUAAUACCGCAUACUAUUGGAGCUGCCGAUAUCGGAUUAGCUAGUUGGUGGGGUAAAGGCUCACCAAGGCAACGAUCCGUAGCUGGUCUGAGAGGAUGACCAGCCACACUGGGACUGAGACACGGCCCAGACUCCUACGAGAGGCAGCAGUGGGGAAUUGUGCACAAUGGGGGAAACCCUGAUCCAGCCAUCCCGCGUGUAUGAGAAGGCCUUCGGGUUGUAAAGUACUUUUGGCAGAGAAGCGGUAUCUGCAGAAGAAGCACCGGCUAACUACGUGCCAGCAGCCGAGGUAAUAC
rnacentral:rRNA from 1 species